rnacentral:rRNA from 1 species
CCUAGUGGCUAUAGCGGAGGGGAAACACCCGUUCCCAUCCCGAACACGGAAGUUAAGCCCUCCAGCGCCGAUGGUAGUUGGGGCCAGCGCCCCUGCAAGAGUAGGUCGCUGCUAGGC